rnacentral:pre_miRNA from 1 species
CCGGUUUUCGAUUUGGUUUGACUGUUUUUUUAUACAAGUGAGAUCAUUUUGAAAGCUGAUU